rnacentral:lncRNA from 1 species
UUUUAUUCAAGCUUAUGGUUAAAUCAUUGCUGAUUGCCAUGAAAAUUGUACUCUGUACAUCUUGCAUGUAUAAGUCAGGUAUGAAAGGCUGAUCACCUUCAUUACCAGUUGGUUCAGAAAUGUUUGUUCAUGUUUAAAACUUGUUCAGUCAAAAAUUUGUUCGUGCUAGUUCUCAAUUAUAUUGAUGAAUUAUAGCAAGCCCAUUAUUCAUACUCUUCAAUCAUGAUAUAUCCUUAUAUUGUUGUAUUUAAACUUGCUGGGCAACUUUCAUGCUCACCCUUGCUAUAUCAUGAUAAAACAUUGCAGAUAAGACGAAAGCGUUCGGAUACAGGAAACGAUUAAAGCCAAGUUCAGCUUGGGUUAUAAAGUGCAGCUAGUUUGUAAUAGCGUAUUGUGAUAAAUAUUGUUAUGUAAUAAAUAGUUUAUGAAAUGUGUAUAAGUUAAGGUUACUCGACCUUGGGGAAUAGUGUGUAAUGUAAUGUAUAAACAAUUUAUGUUUAUAUCUUCCGCAAACAGUUAUAGAAAGAUUAGCAAACCGAAUCCGCGGCGAUUUGGGGCCCGGAUUCGGGGGACGCUACAGUUGGUAUCAAAGCUGUUGGUUAUGAAGCUUAGGUAGGAAUACCUGAGACCAAUAACCGCAGUGAUUAGGAUAAGAUCUAACUCACAUAGAGUUAGUUGGUCGGUAAGAUUCAAAGACGAAUCUCGGUAAGUUGUAAAGAUACAGAGUUCCCUAACUCUGGUAAUAAGGUUGAACAGAAGUGGUGAAUAGAUAAAGUCUAAAAGACUAAAAGUUCAGUGAUAGGAGAUCGUAAAACAAAACGAUCAUAGUCAUAGAAUUGAAUCGUAAUAUAUACGAUGAGAUCACCCCGUGAUCUGUUAAGGUUAUGACAGCCAGAAAGAAUCAAUCUGAUGAUUGAAAAGUUUAAAGCAUGAUUGCUGUGUGAAUGGUACAGAUUCAGAAAAGGAUUAUGAAUACGGAUUAAAUGAAAUUCGUAUUGAGAAGGGGGUUAAGUAUUAGGUGGGGAUUUCAAUGAGGACUCGUGUCGGCAACUGAGUUGUAUGAUUUCUUGUAUGGGCGGGGAAUCGUACUUGGUGUAAAAACUACUUAGUUGGUGGCAUUGGUAAUAAUUGAAAUGUUGUGUCACGCUAGUUGUUAUAUACAGAUAAAUAGGUCAUAGGUAGAGAAUAUAGGAUUAAGUACGAGUUCUUAGAACUCAUACUUAUGUGACAUUCUUGACUCAUAGUUAUAUGAAAUGUUUAUGAGCCCCUCAGCGAACGGACGCCAAAGGUCAGACUAGGGUAAGUUCGUAAACUCAUAUAAUUGUGGCCAGGUUAUGAACUCAUAAGUGUGGUUUUAUGAACUGGGUAUAGUUGUGUGUGAAUGGAGUGUUAAGGAUUAUAGGAACAGAUAGAUUGUUAAGCAUAUGAUCAUUAGUGGAGAUUUAGGUUUUCCUAAACCCCUAGCUUUGCUAAACUUCAAUUUUUGACAUCAAGCUAAAUACGCACUAUGUGCCUUUUAAAAAAAAAAAAUUGUUUUUAUUUAUCACUUAUGUACCAUGUGACCUGGUGCAGAGAUGAAAAAAAAAAAUGAUGGAGUUAUCAAUGCAGAAUUACUUGGUGUUGGAUGUGAUCUAAGGAUCGUCAGCCCACUACAGUAUGAUGUAGUAUAACAAAGUCACAAAAUGACGAAAUCCUCAACGGACUGUUAAAUACAGUGCGGCAUCAUGACGUCAUUCUCAAAAAUGUUUUUAUUGAAAGAAAUUUCCCAAACCAAAUUGUUUUGUUGUGGAAUCAAAUAAGACUGAGGUAAAAUUUUGUGCGCCUAAGGCGGAUAAGAGGAACAAAAUUGUUCCGACCAGCAGUACUUGGCCAGUACAGGGCAUAUCGGGCUAAUCACCCUUUGUGUCUGUAAGUUAUGACGGUUUGCGGAUGAAUUUCCAUAAAACCUUUGCGAAAAUGACAGACAAAUAGUCUAUAUGACUCCUCAGCAAAAUUUGAAAAUUUUUACUCUUGUGAGUGGUGUAUUGGGUAGCAUGUGAUGCUGUGUAUGUAUGGUGUAUGGUGUAUGGUGUAAGGUGUAAGGUAAAUUUCGGGGACGAAAUUUUUAGAAGAAGGGGUGAAUGUGACAACCCGAGAAUUUUGAAUAUUUUUAAAAUUUUAAUUAAUUGAUUUAAGGUUCAAUAUUAGAACCUAGACAGAAAAUAAGUGUAUGCGUUUGAUAUUUUUAAGAAGGAAUUUUGAGGAUUUCAAAAUUCUGUGAAGGAUUUAAGUGAAUUAUUCAGGAUUAAGGGAAUAAGUGAAUAUGUUCUGUGUAUAUGGUCGUAUAUGUGUACAGUAUGUGGUUAAGGGUCAAGGGUUGACCAGAUAAACGAUAUCUGUAACAAACCCUAAGUAUAUAUUAAGAACGUCAAUGUUCGGUUAGAAAACCCUAGCGAUUAAUAAGAAACCCUAGAAACCGGUUCUGGAAACCCUAAUUUCAGUUCCGGGAAUCCGAAACCCUAAUUCGGUGCAUGAAACCCUAAAUCGGGAACUUAAUGGCGUAAGUGUAAAUAAUUAUAGGAUUAAUUAGGGUUAAUCUUAACAAAUUGGUUACAAAACCCUAAUUCCAAAUUUUUGAAACCCUAAAUUUACGGAUUUGAAACCCUAAUUUGUAAAUAGGGAAAAACCUAAGUGUUAAUUUAAUACUUUUAAUGUUAAUUAGGAUAUAUUAAUUCUAAUUUUCAAGUUAUGAGUAAUUAGAAAACCCUAAUCUAAUUACGAAAUCUAAUUUCUAAAUUAAAAAAUUAUUUUUCUAUUAGAAACCCUAAUUAGUGGGUUAUAAACCCUAAUGACCAUUUUAACCCUAAUUGUUUAAUUAGCAAUUUUAAUUAGGAAAUACUAAUCAUAAUUAGCAAGAUUUAAGUUAUGAUUAAGAAAUUUUUAUAUAAUUAGAAAAUCCUAAUUAUAAUUUAGAAAUAUUAAUUUUCUAUUUUUGGAAACCUAAUUUGGACAUUCUAGAUUUUAUUUUUCUAAACCCUAAUCCAAACCUUAAACCCUAAGGGUUUGAGUUAAUUGACAAAAAUACCAUUAAAUUUGUGUGCGAAAAGACUAAAAUACCCUUUAUUUAAAAAUCUAAGUAAACAGUUAUGGCCAAAGUUGUGGCCACAUCUCUUGGGUUACCACCAUACACCUUGAAUCAGCUCCAUAAGGCCACAUCACAACACUCAUAGCCACUAGAAUCAAAAGGGUGAGAUUAAAGUAAAGAAAAAUCCUUACUUUACUUACCAUUCUAUCAAAGACCCUUCUCUCUCUAAGAUUUCGAAAUAUAGAGUGAGAGAGAGUGUGAAAUAAAGCCAUGAUCAUUUCAUAUCAAGCCAUUAGCAAAAUCAGAAGUCAGAAUCAAAAAUCAAAGCUCAAAAGGUAUAAAACAUUAAAACUAGAAAUCUUUUGAUUUGAUGUUUAAUGUUGUUGUUUGUUGGUUAAAUUUAUGUUAGAGAGUGUCAUUUGAUGAUCUGUGUUGCCAAAACCUAGAUCCAUAUCAUUUAGAUACUCGAAUUUAAAGAUUUCUCAAAUCUGGAAAAAUGGAAAUAUAAGGCCUGACAACCUAAUGUCAGGGCCUCUAGAUCUUUAUAUGUUAGUGGUUUUGUGUGUUUUAUGUUAUAGAUAUGUAGUAUGACAUAUGGACUAGGAUCUGAGACUGAAAUCAGGGUUAGAUCAUAUUUAAAUCACAAGUUAUGAACGGCCAAACCUAGUUGACCGAUCACGAAAAUGAUUUCUGGGCAGCCUUGAAAUUUCCAGAAAUUCCUGACAAGCUUUUUCAAGCCUCUGAUCUUGCAGUCGUUUUACUGUUUGGCCAUGUUUUUGUUUUGGUAUUGUAGCCUGACAUUCAUAUUACACAUAUAAGUCAUCAGAACCACAAGAUCGAUCACAUGAUCAAAGAUAAUACCGGUCAAACAACCGUUGACCAUCACGCCGGAUGAUGAUUUUGGGUAACCAAGAUCUUCAUCAGCUGAGUUUUUUGUCAGAGUUUGACCAACCUUGAUCUUACAUAUGUGUUGAUGUUUUUAUCAUCUAAUAUUAUGUCGUUAUACCCUGUCAUGUGUUCUACAAGAAUAAACUACUAGAUUGCACAAACAAGACCCAGAUGGAAAGUUAUGAGGAUCGAAAUCUGGUACCUUGCAACUGUUCUUCAUUUCUGGAAAACCCAGAAAUGAAGAACAUCACUGACAACAGUUUCUGGAGCUUAGAUAUUGCAGAAUUGAUUUAUUUUGGCUAUGAAACUUGCUUUAGAUUAUAGUAUUACAUCAAUACUACAAACAUAUUACACUAGACUGACCAGAAACAGUACGAUCAAGAAAUUAUGGGUGGUCAAACCACCUACCCUGUAAACUGACGAUGAGUUUCUGAGCAGCUCAAGAACACGCGAAGAACACCAUUAGCGACGAAUUCGUCACCUAAGGCCCCAAUAGCGACACUUAAUUUCAAAAAUUGAUUAUUUUAAUUAAAUAAAUAGAAAAAAAAUGGUUUUUAAUUAUUAAAAAUACAUAAUAAAUUCUGAAAAAAUUAUUUUAAAGUCUGAAAAAUAGUUUUUAAUUAUUUAGAGUAUAUUUCAUAAAUAUUUAAUAUUUUUGGAAUAUAAAUGGUAUUUAAUUUUUUUAAUUAUAAUAUUAAAUAAAUUAUUUAAAAAUGAUUUUAAUACAUGAAAAAUUAUGAAAAAUAAUAUUAUGGUAUAAGAAAAUAUUUUAAGUUAUUUUUAGUGACUUUUAAUAUUUUGUGAUGGAUUUCAUUAAUUAAUUAAUUAAUAUUAAUUGUAAUUAAUUUAUUUAAUAACUAUAUUAAAUAAAUUAUAGAAAAUCGAAUUAAUGAAUUAUAAAUCAUAUAAAAAAUUUUAUUAAUUGAUUUAAGGUUCAAAAUUAGAACCUAUGACAUAUAAAUUAGGUUAUAUUUUUGAUGAAGGAAUUUUGAGGAUUUCAAAAUUCUGUGAAGGAUUUAGGUGGAUUAUUCAGGAUUAAGGAAUACGUGAAAAUCAUAUAAAAGUGAUUUUAAAGUAUUAAAAAUACUUUGAUAUAUUAUAAUAUUAUGCUAUGAUUUUCAUUAAUAUUUGAUAAUAAAUAAAUAUUAAUGAUAAAAGAAUUAGGUGGUAUUUAUUCAUUUAAAUACGAUUUUAAUGAUUGAAAAAUCAAGAUAAAUAGUAAUAAUUAUUUAAAAAUUAUUACAAGCUUACGAAAAAAUAUUUCGACUGUUAAUAAAUUAUAUUAGAUAAUAGUUAAGCGUUUAGCCAGAGUUUAAUUGAACUUAAACUCGAAAUUUGUCCGACUAGACCAUCGGGAUGUUAGAAUUUUGUAGGAUUCAACUCGGACUUAAAUAGUCUGACUUGAUGCUAAGUUUUAUGUAUUGAAUAUACUGAUAGGGUUAUGUGUUAUGUGUUAUGUGUUUAGGUUAUUCUAUGUAUAUAUAUAUAUAUAUUAUAGUAUUAUAUUGUGAUGAUAUUAUUCUAAUAUUGGAGAUCUAUAUUACUAAUAUUAGGUCUUCGGAUAAAGCGAUAUAAAUUGCAUAGCGGUAAUCAACGGUUCAGGCAAGUUUGUUUUUACUUAACUCUACUAAGAGUUGUUUCUUUCGGAUAAGCUUAUGGUUAAUCAUUGAUGGUUGCCAUGAAUUGUACUAUGUACAUAUUGCAUGUAUAAGUCAGGUAUGAAAGGCUGAUCACCUUCAUUACCAGUUGGUUCAGAUAUAUUUGUUCAUGUUAAAACUUGUUCAGUCAAAAUUUUGUUCCUGCUAGUUCACAAUUAUAUUGUUGAAUUAUAGCCAGCCAAUUAUUCAAAUCAUUUCAAUCAUGAUAUAUCGUUAUAUUAUUGAACUUAAACUUGCUGGGCAACUUUU